rnacentral:lncRNA from 1 species
ACAUUCAUUUAAUUACACAGGACGUGUGCUGUUAAAGACGUACGGCUCCCCGCAGAGACGAGACGAGUCACUGAUCCUGGACCAGCGUGAAGAAGACACACAGCGGAUAAUUUAAUGAGACAAAUCAGGUUAAAUUCAAUCAGAGCUGAUGCUGCUGCAGAGUCCAACACGUCCACCCUAGGAAACAGGAACACUGCUACUGCUGCAGGUGCCUCUGGUUCAGAAACUGGUUUCAGCUUCACUAUAAGUCCUACAUUAUCAGUCUGUGUCACAUGUUCAGUUCAGGCCUGAGGUAAUCACACUCAUGUCCUAAUUUCACACUGGUUUGGAAAAGAUUUGGAGCACAUGCAUGCAGCAUUGUCACACAAAUUUCAGAUGUACCAGUUUGCAUGUUAAAGGGACCUUAAGUGUCUGUAAAGGAGUGCACCAAUACACCAGUUCUUACAAA